UUGAGUAACGGGAGAUUAUUUUUGUGUCUCUUUGUUUCGAUGAACGGAUGAGGUAUAGCAAAUCAAAUGGCCGAGAUAUCGUUUCAGUCGUCAUCUAUUUGGAUUGACGAUUUGAUUGUUGCUCGUCCACAU